AGACUACAGGCCUGCAUUCUGUGUGCACAUGAGAGGAGAGAGGAGGCUAUGCAAGGGGGGGUUUGUGUGUGAGGUGUCCUGUGGCCAUCAAGGAGAAAAAGACGUGACUCGUCAUUUGCCAAGUGAAAUACACUGUACAAAUAUCAGAGCAGUGUCUUCACAGCAUUAAUUCCUUUAGUACCGGUGCCGAAUCCCCUCUCUGAUAAACUGGUUCCAUUCCUGAUGAAUUUACCUUAUUGCGAUUACACCAGGCUUUCCAGCAGCUCCUUGUGACUUGGGGCCUCGUCGAC